UUGAAACAAAGAUACUGUUUAUCUUUAUACAAUUGUAUGUAUUUCAAAAUAUAUAUAAAAUCAAAAAUAGGCCUUAAAGGUCACUUAUUAUGCAAAAUACACUUCACCAUGUUUCUCUAACUCUUAUAUGUGUCCCUAGUCUCUCUGUCCUCUCCAUCUUUUGCCUGCUCCACUUUUCAGAAAAUCCAUGAUCAAAUACAGGAUCAGAGUGGAUUUAGAACAAGAAACUUCACACACAUGUUUUGAGGAGCUCUGAGACUUAUUUAAGCUGGAUGAAGAGGAGGAUAAUAUGUGACCUUUAAGCGGACAUGCACCCUUACAUUUUAUUGAUUCUGUUUUCCUGUGAUAACAAGUCA